UCUUGCUGCCCUGCCCACUGACUCUCACAAGGAUAGGGCAGGCAGUGAGAAUGUGGAAGCAGAAAGACCACAUGACUGACAGUUUAAAGUAUAGUCAUGUGUCACUUAACGGUGAGGAUAUGUUCCGAGAAAUGCCUCCUUAGGCAAUUCUGUUGUGUGCACAUCACAGAGUACACUUACACAAACCUAGAUGGAAGAGCCUACUGCACACCUAGGCUGAAUGGGACCAGCCUGGCCAACAUGUUGAAACCUCAACUCUACUAAAAAUACAAAAAUUAGCCAGGCUUGGUGGCAUGUGCCUGUAAUCUCAGCUACUUGGGAGGCUGAGGCAGGAGAAUCACUUGAACCUGGGUGGUGGAGGUUGCAGUGAGCCGAGAUCACCCCACUGCACUCCAGCCUGGGCGACAGAGCAAGACUGACUCAAUUUAAAAAAAAAAAGAUAAAAAUGGUGCAUCUCUAUAGGGCGUUUACCAUGCCUGGAGCUUGUGGGACUGGAAGUUGCUCUGGAAUCACUUCCUGGCUGGGAAUUGAACCCAGACUGCUGCAGUGAAAGAGCAUAAUGUUAGCUACUGGCCCACAGCAUGAGACUCCCGGUCCUGUUUGUUGCUCAUCCCCAGAUACGCAGCCUGGUCUACAGGAAGAAUUCUAUGUAUAUUUGCUGAAGAGACAAAGAAGGAUGUGGAUGAAUUGGAUGUGGAGAAUGAGAGGAAAGAAAAUGUCAAGGAUGGCUCUAAUUUCUGGCUUAUGCAACUGAGUGGUGCCAUUGAGAGAGACUCUCUCUCUUGCCUUCUUGGUUGGCACACUGGGGAGAAGCGAGCUGCAGCGUUGGAGAGGCCCAUGUGGCAAGGGACUGAGAGCAGCCUCUGGCCAACAGCCGGUAAGCAACCAGUGAGCAACCGAGGCCCUCAGUCCCACAGCAUGUGAGGAACUGAGUCCUGCCAAUGAUCAUGUGAUACUGAAGGAGGGUCUUUCUUUAGCUGAUCCUACAGAUGAGAAUCUAGCCCUUGUGCUGCCUCAUGAGAGACCCUGGAGCAGAGGCCCCAGCUGAGCUAUGCCUGGAUUCCUACCCACAGAAACUGGAAGACAAUAAAAGUGUCGUUUAUGUUUUUUUAUUCUGGUAAAAAUCAUAUAACAUGAAAUUUUUCCAUUCUAACCAU
rnacentral:lncRNA from 1 species